UACGUAGGCAGCAAGCGUUGUUCGGAGUUACUGGGCGUAAAGAGUGCGUAGGUGGUGCCCUAAGUCUGUUGUGAAAUCUCCCGGCUUAACUGGGAGGGUGCGGUGGAAACUGGGGUGCUUGAGUGUGGGAGAGGUAAGCGGAAUUCCUGGUGUAGCGGUGAAAUGCGUAGAUAUCAGGAGGAACACCGGUGGCGAAGGCGGGACUCUGGGCCGAUACUGACGCUGAGGAGCGAAAGCGUGGGGAGCAAACAGG
rnacentral:rRNA from 1 species